GACGAACGCUGGCGGCGUGCUUAACACAUGCAAGUCGAACGGAAAGGCCCUGCUUUUGUGGGGUGCUCGAGUGGCGAACGGGUGAGUAACACGUGAGUAACCUGCCCUUGACUUUGGGAUAACUUCAGGAAACUGGGGCUAAUACCGGAUAGGAGCUCCUGCUGCAUGGUGGGGGUUGGAAAGUUUCGGCGGUUGGGGAUGGACUCGCGGCUUAUCAGCUUGUUGGUGGGGUAGUGGCUUACCAAGGCUUUGACGGGUAGCCGGCCUGAGAGGGUGACCGGCCACAUUGGGACUGGGAUACGGCCCAGACUCCUACGGGAGGCAGCAGUGGGGAAUAUUGCACAAUGGGCGGAAGCCUGAUGCAGCAACGCCGCGUGCGGAAUGACGGCCUUCGGGUUGUAAACCGUUUUCGCCUGUGACGAAGCGUGAGUGACGGUAAUGGGUAAAGAAGCACCGGCUAACUACGU
rnacentral:rRNA from 1 species